UGGGGCGUCGACAAGUGGCAAGUCACGGGACUUUGGUUCCCGCACUCGCAGGUUCGAAUCCUGCCGCCCCAA
rnacentral:tRNA from 1 species